UAGGGAAUCUUCCACAAAUGGGCGCAGCCUGAUGGAGCAACGCCGCGUGAGUGAAGAAGGUCUUCGGAUCGUAAAACUCUGUUGUUAGAGAAGAACAUGCGAGAGAGUAACUGUUCUUGUAUUGACGGUAUCUAACCAGAAAGCCACGGCUAACUACGUGCCAG
rnacentral:rRNA from 1 species